rnacentral:rRNA from 1 species
UUUAUUGAGAAUUUGAUCCUGGUUCAGAUUGAAUGCUGACGGCGUGGAUGAGGCAUGCAAGUCGAACGAAGUAGUAACUUGUUACUACUUAGUGGCGAAAGGGUUAGUAAUACAUGAGUAACUUACCUCUUACCUGGGGAUAACGGUUGGAAACGACCGCUAAUACCGAAUGAGGAGAGCUGGGGUAGCCUGGUUUCUUCAAAGUUGGGGAUUCUGCAAAGAACCUUGCGGUAGGAGAGAGGCUCAUGAGAUAUCAGCUUGUUGGUGUGGUAACGGCGCACCAAGGCUAAGACGUCUAGGCGGACUGAGAGGUUGACCGCCAACACUGGGACUGAGACACUGCCCAGACUCCUACGGGAGGCUGCAGUCGAGAAUCAUUCGCAAUGGGCGAAAGCCUGACGAUGCGACGCCGUGUGGACGAUGAAGGCCUUCGGGUUGUAAAGUCCUUUCGCCAGGGAACAAGAGAGAGUAACUAAUAAUUGCUCGAUUUGAGGGUACCUGGUAAAGAAGCACCGGCUAACUCCGUGCCAGCAGCUGCGGUAAUACGGAGGGUGCAAGCAUUAAUCGGAUUUAUUGGGCGUAAAGGGCGCGUAGGCGGAUGAGAA